UACGAAGGGGGCUAGCGUUGCUCGGAAUCACUGGGCGUAAAGGGUGCGUAGGCGGGUCUUUAAGUCAGGGGUGAAAUCCUGGAGCUCAACUCCAGAACUGCCUUUAAUACUGAAGAUCUUGAGUUCGGGAGAGGUGAGUGGAACUGCGAGUGUAGAGGUGAAAUUCGUAGAUAUUCGCAAGAACACCAGUGGCGAAGGCGGCUCACUGGCCCGAUACUGACGCUGAGGCACGAAAGCUAGGGGAGCAAACGGG
rnacentral:rRNA from 1 species